GGAAUUUUCCGCAAUGGGCGAAAGCCUGACGGAGCAAUCUCGCGUGAGGGAUGACUGCCUAUGGGUUGUAAACCUCUUUUUUCAGGGAGGAAUCGACGACGUGUACCUGAAGAAUACGCAACGGCCAACUCCGUUCCAGCAGCCGCGGUAAGACGGAGGAUGCAAGUGUUAUCCGGAAUCACUGGGCGUAAAGCGUCUGUAGGUGGUUUAAUAAGUCAACUGUUAAAUCUUGAAGCUCAACUUAAAAAUCGCAGUCGAAACUAUUAGACUAGAGUAUAGUAGGGGUAAAGGGAAUUUCCAGUGGAGCGGUGAAAUGCGUAGAGAUUGGAAAGAACACCGAUGGCGAAGGCACUUUACUGGGCUAUUACUGACACUCAGAGACGAAAGCUAGGGUAGCA
rnacentral:rRNA from 1 species